UUAAAUUGAAGAGUUUGAUCAUGGCUCAGAUUGAACGCUGGCGGCAGGCCUAACACAUGCAAGUCGAGCGGAAACGAGUUACCUGAACCUUAGGGGAACGAUAACGGCGUCGA
rnacentral:rRNA from 1 species